rnacentral:rRNA from 1 species
ACAUGCAGUCGAGCGGACAGAAGGGAGCUUGCUCCCGGAUGUUAGCGGCGGACGGGUGAGUAACACGUGGGUAACCUGCCUGUAAGACUGGGAUAACUCCGGGAAACCGGAGCUAAUACCGGAUAGUUCCUUGAACCGCAUGGUUCAAGGAUGAAAGACGGUUUCGGCUGUCACUUACAGAUGGACCCGCGGCGCAUUAGCUAGUUGGUGAGGUAACGGCUCACCAAGGCGACGAUGCGUAGCCGACCUGAGAGGGUGAUCGGCCACACUGGGACUGAGACACGGCCCAGACUCCUACGGGAGGCAGCAGUAGGGAAUCUUCCGCAAUGGACGAAAGUCUGACGGAGCAACGCCGCGUGAGUGAUGAAGGUUUUCGGAUCGUAAAGCUCUGUUGUUAGGGAAGAACAAGUGCAAGAGUAACUGCUUGCACCUUGACGGUACCUAACCAGAAAGCCACGGCUAACUACGUGCCAGCAGCCGCGGUAAUACGUAGGUGGCAAGCGUUGUCCGGAAUUAUUGGGCGUAAAGGGCUCGCAGGCGGUUUCUUAAGUCUGAUGUGAAAGCCCCCGGCUCAACCGGGGAGGGUCAUUGGAAACUGGGAAACUUGAGUGCAGAAGAGGAGAGUGGAAUUCCACGUGUAGCGGUGAAAUGCGUAGAGAUGUGGAGGAACACCAGUGGCGAAGGCGACUCUCUGGUCUGUAACUGACGCUGAGGAGCGAAAGCGUGGGGAGCGAACAGGAUUAGAUACCCUGGUAGUCCACGCCGUAAACGAUGAGUGCUAAGU